rnacentral:rRNA from 1 species
GGUCAAGCGAAUAAGCGCACACGGUGGAUGCCUUGGCGGUCAGAGGCGAUGAAGGACGUGGCAGCCUGCGAAAAGUAUCGGGGAGCUGGCAACAAGCUUUGAUCCGGUAAUGUCCGAAUGGGGAAACCCACCCGCUUGCGGGUAUCCUGCAGUGAAUACAUAGCUGCUGGAAGCGAACCUGGUGAACUGAAAUAUCUAAGUAACCAGAGGAAAAGAAAUCAACCGAGAUUCCGUAAGUAGCGACGAGCGAACGCGGACUAGCCCUUAAGCUGGAUUGGUUCUAGGAAAACGCUCUGGAAAGAGCGGCCAUAGAAGGUGAUAGCCCUGUAUCUGAAAGGGCCAUUCCAGUGAAGACGAGUAGGGCGGGGCACGUGAAACCCUGUCUGAACAUGGGGGGACCAUCCUCCAAGGCUAAAUACUACUGACCGACCGAUAGUGAACCAGUACCGUGAGGGAAAGGCGAAAAGAACCCCGGAGAGGGGAGUGAAAUAGAACCUGAAACCGUGUGCGUACAAGCAGUAGGAGCUCCGCAAGGAGUGACUGCGUACCUUUUGUAUAAUGGGUCAGCGACUUACUGUUCGUGGCAAGCUUAACCGUAUAGGGGAGGCGAAGGGAAACCGAGUCUGAUAAGGGCGCAUAGUCGCGGGCAGUAGACCCGAAACCGGGUGAUCUAGUCAUGCCCAGGGUGAAGGUGCGGUAACACGCACUGGAGGCCCGAACCCACUCCCGUUGCAAAGGUAGGGGAUGAGGUGUGAUUAGGAGUGAAAAGCUAAUCGAACCCGGAGAUAGCUGGUUCUCCUCGAAAGCUAUUUAGGUAGCGCCUCAUAUGUAUCCUCUCGGGGGUAGAGCACUGUUAUGGCUAGGGGGUCAUCGCGACUUACCAAACCAUUGCAAACUCCGAAUACCGAGACGGACUGUAUGGGAGACACACGGCGGGUGCUAACGUCCGUCGUGAAAAGGGAAACAACCCAGACCCACAGCUAAGGUCCCAAAUUCACUGCUAAGUGGAAAACCAUGUGGAAAGGCACAGACAGCCAGGAGGUUGGCUUAGAAGCAGCCACCCUUUAAAGAAAGCGUAAUAGCUCACUGGUCGAGUCGGUCUGCGGGGAAGAUUUAACGGGGCUAAGCAGUGAACCGAAGCUUGGGGUGCAUAACUUUGUUAUGCGCGGUAGAGGAGCGUUCCGUAAGCCGUUGAAGGUGGAUUGAGAAGUCUGCUGGAGGUAUCGGAAGUGCGAAUGCUGACAUGAGUAACGUAAUGCGGGUGAAAAACCCGCACGCCGAAAGCCCAAGGUUUCCUUGCGCAACGUUAAUCGGCGCAGGGUGAGUCGGCCCCUAAGGCGAGGACGAAAGUCGUAGUCGAUGGGAAGCAGGUUAAUAUUCCUGCACCUCGCGUAAGUGCGAUGGAGGGACGGAGAAGGUUAGGUGUACCAGGCGUUGGUUGUCCUGGGGAAAGGCGGUAGGUUUGGAUCUUUGGCAAAUCCGGGAUCCUUUAAGACCGAGCACCGAGACGAGCCUUUAUGGCGAAGUCACUGAUACCACGCUUCCAGGAAAAGCUCCUAAGCUUCAGCUUACGCAGACCGUACCGUAAACCGACACAGGUGGGUAGGAUGAGAAUUCUCAGGCGCUUGAGAGAACUCGGGUGAAGGAACUAGGCAACAUGGCACCGUAACUUCGGGAGAAGGUGCACCCUUUUUGGUGGCUCGUGCGAGCUAUAGCUGAAGAGGGUCGCAGUAACCAGGCCGCUGCGACUGUUUAUCAAAAACACAGCACUCUGCAAACACGAAAGUGGACGUAUAGGGUGUGACGCCUGCCCGGUGCUGGAAGGUUAAUUGAUGGGGUCAGCCGCAAGGCGAAGCUCUUGAUCGAAGCCCCAGUAAACGGCGGCCGUAACUAUAACGGUCCUAAGGUAGCGAAAUUCCUUGUCGGGUAAGUUCCGACCUGCACGAAUGGCGUAACGACAGCGGCGCUGUCUCCACCCGAGACUCAGUGAAAUUGAAAUCGCUGUGAAGAUGCAGCGUUCCCGUGGCAAGACGGAAAGACCCCGUGAACCUUUACUAUAGCUUUACACUGAACGUUGAGUUCGUCUGUGUAGGAUAGGUGGGAGGCUAUGAAACUGUGGCGCUAGCUGCAGCGGAGCCAUCCUUGAAAUACCACCCUGUCGUGCUUGACGUUCUAACCUGGGCCCAUUAUCUGGGUCGGGGACCGUGUAUGGUGGGUAGUUUGACUGGGGCGGUCUCCUCCUAAAGAGUAACGGAGGAGCUCGAAGGUACGCUCAGCGCGGUCGGACAUCGCGCACUGUGUGCAAAGGCAUAAGCGUGCUUGACUGCAAGAUCGACGGAUCAAGCAGGUAGGAAACUAGGACUUAGUGAUCCGGUGGUUCUGUAUGGAAGGGCCAUCGCUCAACGGAUAAAAGGUACUCCGGGGAUAACAGGCUGAUACCGCCCAAGAGUUCAUAUCGACGGCGGUGUUUGGCACCUCGAUGUCGGCUCAUCACAUCCUGGGGCUGUAGUCGGUCCCAAGGGUAUGGCUGUUCGCCAUUUAAAGUGGUACGCGAGCUGGGUUCAGAACGUCGUGAGACAGUUCGGUCCCUAUCUGCCAUGGGCGUUGGAGAUUUGAGAGGGGCUGCUCCUAGUACGAGAGGACCGGAGUGGACGAACCUCUGGUGUUCCGGUUGUCACGCCAGUGGCAUUGCCGGGUAGCUAUGUUCGGAAGCGAUAACCGCUGAAAGCAUCUAAGCGGGAAGCGCGCCUCAAGAUGAGAUCUCCCGGGGCACAAGCCCCCUGAAGGAACCAUGUAGACUACGUGGUUGAUAGGUCAGGUGUGUAAGUACAGCAAUGUAUUGAGCUAACUGAUACUAAUGAUCCGUGCGGCUUGACCAU